UGUGCUUCUUGCCUCUUCUCAG
rnacentral:miRNA from 1 species